GACGAACGCUGGCGGCGUGCUUAACACAUGCAAGUCGAGCGGUAAGGCCCUUUCGGGGGUACACGAGCGGCGAACGGGUGAGUAACACGUGGGUGACCUGCCCUUAGCUCUGGGAUAAGCCUGGGAAACUGGGUCUAAUACCGGAUAUGACUCCAUGACGCAUGUUGUGGGGGUGGAAAGCCUUGUGCGGCUAGGGAUGGGCCCGCGGCCUAUCAGCUUGUUGGUGGGGUGAUGGCCACCAAGGCGACGACGGGUAGCCGGCCUGAGAGGGCGACCGGCC
rnacentral:rRNA from 1 species